GGUAUGCAUCUAGAAGUCACUUGGCGACAAGUGAUGGCAACCGAGCCCACCAGGCCACGGUGCCUCGCUGUAACGGGGAUGCGGCGCGACGAGCGCAAAAGAACUGGUGCUC
rnacentral:ncRNA from 1 species